rnacentral:rRNA from 1 species
CGCUUUUUGUUUUAAUUUAAAGUUGGUUCUGCUCAAUGAAAUUAUUUAAAUGGCCGCGGUAAACUGACUGUGCAAAGGUAGCAUAAUAAAUAGUUUAUUAAUUGUAAACUUGGAUGAAUGAAUUGACGAGAAAUUUACUGUCUCUAUAUUAAGGUUUUGAAUUUGACUUUUAAGUUAAAAGGCUUAAUUGAAUUUAUGGGACGAGAAGACCCUAUAGAACUUAAUUUAAUUUAAUUUAAGUUUUUUUGAUUUUUAAAAAUUUAUUUAAAAUUAAAUUUAAUUGGGGUGAUUUGAAGAUAAAAAUAACUUUUUAUUUUACAACUUAAAUUAAUGGUUUCUUGAUCUUUAUUAAUGAUUAUAAGAAAAGUUACCUUAGGGAUAACAGCAUAAUUUUUUUGGAGAGUUCUAAUCAAUAAAAAAGUUUGUGACCUCGAUGUUGAAUUAAGAUGAAUAUUAGAUGCAGAAGUUUACAAAAUUAGGUCUGUUCGACCUUUAAAAUCUUACA